rfam:Felis catus isolate Cinnamon breed Abyssinian chromosome A1, whole genome shotgun sequence.
GCCUGGGUGGCUUAGUCAGUUAAGCAUCUGACUUCAGCUCAGGACAUGAUCUCACGGUUUUGUGGGUUUGAGCCCCACAUCAGGCU